rnacentral:rRNA from 1 species
GGUUUCCGUAGGUGAACCUGCGGAAGGAUCAUUAACGAUUGCUAAACAUGCAAAGAGAAACGUAUGGCUGACCGGACUAAACUCCUGACGAGAUCAGGAAGGAUUUGACUGGCUAAAACUCCUGACGAGUUCAGGAAGGAUUACGCCUCUCCUUUGAGGGGCCAUCGUGGUCGUCGUGCGUAUGCGCUGCGAACGAUGUAAAACAAACAACCUAUGGCCCCUCAUAUUGUAUAAUAUCUCUCGCCAUGGUAUACAGGCCUGGCAUCUGGUACGAGUCUCUCGCAGUCUCAAAACCAACCUUACAACUCUGAGCGGUGGAUCACUUGGCUUGUGGAUGCUAUGAAGACCAUAGCUAAGUGUGAGAAUGGCAGCGAGCCGUCGCUAUAUGCGCUGUCCUCUUCUUAUCACAUGUCGAAUGCACAUUGCGCCCCACCCAGCGGUCGGCUAACAACCUGCAGACAAAAGCCUGUGAGUUGGAACAAAGGCGAGUGUGUGGCCCUCGAGCAACGGCGGGGGAGCCAGGAGCACAUGAGCGUGCGGACCAACUACUCGUGAGUAGUCAGGCUGAACCCUAUGGUGGGGCACUCCUAGUCGAGUGUGGUGGAUCGGACUCACCGUCCCUUAAUGGGUUUGUGUGAGUUUCUUUGUUGCUGGUGGCAUUUGGGUCGACAUCAGUCGUGCCCGUAAACAACUGCCUUGGCUCGUGCCUCUGUGCGGGGUAACCUUCUCGCAUGGGCGUAAGGUACGCACAUUGAAGGCCAUAGCUGGCGAUCACUCUUGCGGCCAGGGCUCAGAACCACUUUUGCCUGGUUAAUGGCACCGGAUUGAGCGCAGCGGUCCAAAGGGAUGGCAAUACGAGAGGCGGGUCUCUGAAAAACUCUUGCCCGUUUCCUCACAGGGAGUUGGGUGUUGAGCGGUAUUUCUGUGAAUGGGCUUUUCUGGUAAAGGUUUAGUCUCUCGUAGUAUUCGAGAAUGACACGUACCUCACCUCUUUUUGUUCACACACAUGGCUGGCAGACGAAGAGACGCCUGACGAGAUCAGGAAGGAUUUUCUAGGGUGUGUGAAAAAAGUAACGGAAUUGCCUGCAGUGCCGCGCGCCACUCCGCGUUUGACCUGUGUUGGAUGCGUUGGAACGGAGAGAGGCUUUAGCCAAAAUCGGCCAGGACUCUACCUUGGCCUGGGUAAUGGCACCGGUAGGGGCUCUACCACCUUGCAUGGUUAAUUGCACCGGUAGAGCUUACAAAGUCCAACAGGAUAUAAGGCAAUACGAGAGGCGGGUCUCUUCAAAAACUCUAGCCCGCUACGACACGGGGAGUUGGGUGGUGAUUCAGUACGCUUUUCUGGUUGAGGUUUGUGUCUGUGACACAAACCUCGCUUCUUUUUGUUCACACACGGGUUGGCUGGCAGAUGAAGAGACGCCUGACGAGAUCAGGAAGGAUUUUCUAAGGUGUGUGAGAAAAGUAACAGAUUGGCUCAUGCAGUACUGACCCACUCCGCGUUUGACCCGUUGUUUCAAGCGAUGGAACGGAGAGAGGAGGCUUUAGCCAAAAUCGGCCGACGGACACUACCUUGCCUGGGUAAUGGCACCGGUAGGGGCUCUUUCAUUGCAUGGUUAAUUGCACCGCUAGAGCCUUUGUCCAAAAAAAUGCCACCACCUCGACUUAGGAGAGGUUACCCGCUGAACUUAAGCAUAUCAGUAAGCGGAGGAAAAGAAACCAAUCAGGGAUUCCCUUAGUAGGGGCGACCGAAAAGGGAUGAGCCCAGCGCAGAACCUCCCGGGCCACCCGGCCUGCGGCGGAAUGUUGCGUUAAGGGAAAGGUCGUAGUCAAACCCCACAGCCACGCGAGCGCUAAGUAAGUCACGAAUUGGCUAUCCCAACUAACGGCGGGAAAAUCUCCACGGAGGGUGUAAGACCCGUGUGGGCGCGUGUAAAUGCUGUGUGGGCUCGGCCUCUUUUCCCUGAGAGUCGCGUUGCUUGAGCAUGCAGCGCUAAGCAGGUCGUAAACUCGAUCUAAGGCUAAAUAUUUCCACAAGACCGAUAGCGAACAAGUACCGUGAGGGAAAGUUGAAAAGCACUCUGAAGAGAGAGUCAAAAGACC